AUUUUUCCUUUUAUAAAAAUAAAUAAAUAAAUGGCAUUCAUACAUCUUCUGAGUCAGCCUGUACUUUAUUGUGAUUCAUGAGAACUUUUUGUAGGCAAGAACAAUGUUCUGCUUGCAUUUCUCCAGGCAUGUCAGAUCUGAUUGGGGAUGGGCACAGUACCAUGGUGGUGCUGCUGUUGUUCAAUGAGAUACAAGAGAGACUUCAGGAAACCAGAAAAUUGGCUGACUACAAUGUGCUGCCAUAGCUACUGCUGGAGUGCAGUGAGCAGGUGACUGAGGAGGAGAAGGAACUUCUGGAAGAGUACUUUGUUAUUGCUUUGUCAUAAAGGAUGAUCACAAAGGGAUUGAUCAGUGCUGUGGUCUGAGUAUUGCUCUGACACUGAAGCUGUGAGUUGUGGCCCUGAAUGUGGCUGGAGGAUUUUCUGCUGACUGUGUUUAAAUUUCUUCCUGAGGCAGCUUUGAGUGCAUUGGCUGCACUAGAGAAGGAGUAUGAGCUGCAGAAUAAGUGUAAGGACUCAGUGGGAGCAGCAGUUUUGCAUGAGGGCAGUAUAAGAUGAGCUCCUAUUGAAGGGCUUUAGCCCUGCUCUCCCACACUGUGCAGUUGGUGAUUGGGCUGCAAAGUAUUGGCACUCUCAGUGUAAUUGUAUAUUGCUUCCAUUCUCAUUAGUGAAACAAUGCAGGAGGAAGGAAUACAAAAAAAUGCAGAUUAUAAAGAUUGUGAAGGAAAAUCAGUGUUCUUGAGGGUUUUUUCUAAAAUGCUGUAUUUUUCUUUUCCUACCACUAGUUAGCAAGCUGCAUUUAUAAUCCACCUGUGCUGCAAAUUGUAAUACCUCAUGGUGUGGUGUUUCACACAUGAUAAAUCAUGGGACUUGUGAAGACAAAUUGCACUGAAUUAAACAGUCUGUUGAUCCAUUGUCACUGGAUGUCAACUGUCUGCUGCUCCAUUGUCAUUGUCUCUAUUUGGAGAACAACACAAACUCCAUGAAUUGCUGACCAUAACAUAUGUGAGGUUAUGUGGACCGAGUGAGUAGUGUUGUCUUCCUCUGAUCACCCAGGUAACCAUGAAUUUACUUUUGGGCUGCUGUUAGAACAUUAAUAUGUAAAUGCACUCCUGAAUCUCAGGAUGGUUAUGUGCAUUCAGGUUGGUAAGCUAUUAACCACCAGUCUGGUUUCUGGGGGUUAAUAUGAGAGUAUAAACUUGCACCACUCAGAGUAUAAGCAUGCACCACUCUCUUCUCAAAGUGGAAGCAUGUCCAGGCCUCUGGCACACCAGUGACUCCUGCAGUCAUGUUUGUGGUUCUGUCUCCAUGCUCCACCAAAAAUUAGUGUUCAUAUAUGCUGGAAUGGCACAUUCACCAUCACUACUCCCAGCAUGGAGUCUGUGUCUUUGGUCAGUCUUCAGUUUUGGAGACCUCACUUUUAACGACUUGUGUGCAAACCCCUGCAAAGGUUCUGGUAAAUACCCACUGCUGCUGCAUUGCCCCCUGCCUUGCCUGUCUGGAAUGGGCAGCUUCCAAAUUCCAACUCCCACCUGGCCUUAAGAUGGCAUAACCCGCAGGUACCUGGACUUUGAUGUCACAGCUUUGGGGGAAUUAAGGGACUCCAUCAUUAACCUGACCUCCUUGACUGUUACUCAGUCCAUGUUUGGGUGGUAGCAAAUGGGUGAAUAGCACAUUUAACUCUGGUGUUGGUACUGACAGGGUGAAAGGAGGAGCCACAGCAGAGGGGAUGGGGAGUGCAGGGUGUCUCUCGUGGAGUAAGUCACGUUUGGGGUGGCUCAGCUGCCACACUCACACAGCUGUGGGGGCACUCCUGGCAGGAAACCCAGCCCAGCCUGUGUGCAGCUCUGUGCCAGCUCACCCAGCCUGGUGGGAGAGGGUUGGUGCAGGGACAAGAUUAAGCAGUGUAAUCCACCUUGAGCCAAGAACUUCUGCAUAAGCUGCACGGAGACAUUAGCUUGCACAUAUACCUCUCACAUGCUGUAAAUUACAUGAGAAACUAAAGAGGUGAUGUGCUUAUGAGUAAGAAGUGAACUGAUGGAAAAAUGAUGCUUUAUUUUGAAAGGCAUGGAAAAGAAUAAAAACCAGAUAUAAGAAAGCAAAACUUUGUAUGAUUGAUUGGAAGAGAAACAUGUCACUAAAUCCUUGAACAAUGUGAAGUUGAUCAUCAAUUCUGAUACUACUUUUUGCACCUUGGAGGUCAGUGGAACUGAAACAUAACAUGCUUUGACAGAAUUCAGAGGACUUUGGAGGACUUUGUCUGGAAACAAAAACUUGUGGAUUUGAAAUGUGUUACUGUAGUCCUCCUCUGACAUUACAGCCUGAAUGCCUGUUGGCCCUGCUCUGCAAGGCUGAGGCUGCCUUCCACCUUUGACAUUUUGCCAUGAUCUUCCUCCUUGAAGGGAGUGCUGUAAAUGGGGAAUCCCUCAAAAUGAUCUGUCCUCAGAAUUCUCAUUUAAAUGUACUAGGUACUAAUUACUUUAACUUCAAGGAAAAGAGAAGAUUACCUCCUGUAAACUUUCUCAUACAAAAUAAUCUGUCCUCCUGUGAUGCUGGUUACUUGAAAAUGUCUGUUUGCUUGAGAAAAGGUUUGUCAAAUCAGGUUUUUGCAGGCUGUUUUUGGCACCCAAGGGAUUGAAAACGAAUCGUGGAAUAUUGUCCAGCACCAGGAAAAUUUGGAUGCUGCAGAAGAAAGAUGGCUUUUCCUUCCUCUUUGUUUGAAACCUCUCUGUUCUGGAUGAAUGCAAUGCUCCUGGGACCCAUGAAAAUUCCCUGGAACCAAGAGCUAUUUUUGUGUCUAGCUGGCCAUAUUGACCUCCAGCUGUGAGAACCUGGAAAAUGACCACAAAUUUUGGUGCCUGUCAUAAUCUGGACACUGCCAUCUGUAUCAUGGAGCAAAGGCCUUGUAAACCCCUCCAUUUAUACUAAGGUCAGUGUCAUUACAGGUAAGUUUUCCUAAUGUCUUCUCCCUUUAAGGAAUAAAAUUAUGUUCCUCUCUUCUGCUCUGUGAUAAAUCUGAAACAAUGCCAGCUGGUGCUGGUGUGGUGGCACCAGGUCAUGCUCCCUGGAUAUGGGCUGCAAGAAAUGGGUCACUGCCAUAGGGCCCUCAGGGGUUUGACACCACUGGGUAAGAACUGCCAAUCAAUGUCUGGAUCCACAUCCUCUGCUCUUCUGACCUGUUCUGUCCUGAGAGAGUACUUUUAUGCUGCUUUUUCCUUUUUUUUUUUUUCCUUUUCCCUACAGAUACCUUUCUGAACCUCACAGCAUGUUUGAUGUUCAUUGACAGAGGCCAUGUGAAGCUGCACAUCCCUCUCCAGGAGCAGAAAAGAGAGCACAGUGGCUUCAGUCUGCAAACUGUGAGUGAAGGGGAGAGGUGUGCCCACGCCCACAUGGACCUGCUGCAAGAGGACAUUUUGCCCAUUCCUUCUACUUCAAUUCUCCUCACAUUCUUCUCUAGCCUAGGAAAUUUGACUUUAUCUCCUGUAGUGUUUGAACACCUGUAUCCUCUCCUCAGCUGCUGGGAAUCACUUCAUAUUCCCUGAACUGGUGGUGGGAUUCUAUCAGAGAUAUCAGAGGACAUGGAUUUGGCAGUGGUAAGCCCUGAUAAUAAAACCAUUACAAGUCAGAUUUUGUAAGCCAUCUGCUGGAUAUCCAGAUCCCAAGGAUGGACUCAAAUAUACAUGUGAAUAUUUCAGAAAACAUUCCACGUAAUUGUUGUAUUGAAUAAACUGUUGUAUAGAAUCAUUUCUUCAAAAUCCUGAGCACUGAAAUAAUGUGUGUAAUAUGUACUAUUCUGAUCAUUAAAUUCUGCUCUGUGCCAGUUCUCAACAUGUAAGAACAAGUCCUGCCUUUACCGUGGGGAUGUGAUGAGCUAGCAGCAGAGAAGCAGUGCCUCCCUGCAGAGCAGUAAGACCAGUGGAAAUAAUCAGGAUUUGGGUUUUGAAAAGCAGAAACUAAUGUGCAAGAAUGUAAAAAACAUAGGCAGCUUUCUAAAUUAUUUUCAGGUGUUUUCUUUAACCCAUCUGUAAGGAUGAAAACAAUGUCAGAUUUUUCUAAAGUCUCUUUUUAAAAUGAGUUUAGAAGGCAGUUUCCAGAUAAUGUACAUUUUCCAUGUGAUGCCAUGCAAAGUUCCAAUCCUGCUCAAGGCAAUUUAAGAUUUGAUGUUGAUGUCAUGAAGACAGUAGCAAAAUAUUUCAGGUGUACACUUAGACCUCAGGAUCCAUCCCUGUCACACAGAGCUGUGUAGAGCUGGGGAGCAUGGAGGGGUUUUAGGACAACAGUUCGCUCUGCCAGGAGCAUUUUCUGGCCUGAUGUGGACAUCCCCAUGGGAAUUGCUGCCCCUGAAGUUGGUAGAAGGGGUGUUAGGGUACACAGUGUGUAAGAAGGGGGCAGCCACAGCUUUGCUGUGGAGGUUGAGGCAGGGCAGCUGUUAUAUUAUGAGUCAAUCUUAUUCUUAUUUCUUGUGAAUCAGAAUUGCAAAGGGAGUGUGUGUUGCACUGCCAGCACAAUAUUAUGUUGUCCACCUGAAUUUGUAGAUUUGCACUUAAACAUCCUCAGUCUGCUCUGUGAUUGGUUACCCAAAAUGGAGUUUUCACAUUAAUUCUGCAGGUGAUUCAUUCUGCCUUCUUGUUUCUUCCCCUAGGAGACCACUGGAUUUCAUUCCUUAGCUAACACUGUCGACCUUCAGAUAGCACACGUCUUUGCAUUAUGGCCUCAUAUAAAGUUGGUAACUUUUGCAUGUCAGGAAUGAAAAGGAAAUGUAUAAACAACAUGGGAAGCAUGGUCAGGUGUCAAGGAAAGGGGAAGAAACGAGUGUGAUCCAGAACUUUAUAUCUCUUUGUGGGUGACUUGACUGAGAUACAGAUGGAAGGGACAGAUCUUUUUGCUAUUACUCCUCAGAAUCAAAGGAUAAGAAAUUGCUGUGCUGGAGGUCACUUCAUCCUGACUGCAUUCAUAUACAGGUGAUCUGUUCCAGUGCACAGGGGCAUAUCCUGCAGUGUUAAAAUCAAUGGGAAUGUUGCUGCUGAAAAUAGGAAAAACAUUUUAUCUUUGUUUCUGAUAACUGAUGUCACAAGAUCAUGGAAGGGGUUUUACUGCUCUUAAAAACAAUCUGAACUUCCUGGUGCCUAAUGCCUCCAUUGUAAGUGUCAUUUCAUCAGGAUGCUGUGCCAGGGAGAAGGUUAUACUCUGGAAAGGCAUAUGAAGCCAUCACUUAGUGAGAAACGAGUAAUUAAGACAUAUAGAUAGAGAAGGACACUUCAAAAGCAACAAUUUAACAAAGUAGGUGUCUGACAACAAGAAACAGGAACUGGGAAGGUGAGGUUUCAGUUGAACUCAUAGAACAGAACAGUCAUGGUUAUACUGGAGCCUCAACUUGUUGCACUCUCAGCUGCUCUUUCCUCCCUGGAGUCUUUCCAGCCCAGAUGGUGCAGCUGAGGCUGCAUGGCCUGAGGCAGAGUGUUGGAGCAACAGCAUGUUGUUAGCUGGCUUAGCAAAAAAUUGUCUUUUUUUUCUUUUUCAGCCUAUGUACUGUAAGCUGAGGCCUAACUCUGGACUUACGCUUUUCCUGUGGUUGAAUCCAUAGAGAAUUGGACUGUAAUAAUGGCAGCAGAUUGCAUAUUUUCUUGUCUUUGGAUGGCUUGACAGCAGGCCAGUGAUAGCAGUUUUCAGAGCAAUAAGAAUUACCUGUCUGUUAAAUUUCUCUUCCCCCAGUUACUCCUCUCCCCAAGCUGAAUUAUGUUUUUUUAAACAGAUGGGAUUUCUUGUGCAAGUUAACUUGCUGGAGCCUGUGCAAACCUGGGUUCUGGUUGUUCCAGUGGAGCACUGUCAAGUCUAUGCACAGCCACAGCUUUCUAGUUUCUUUACAAAUAUCUGAUUCCAAGCAGGCUGAAUCUGUAUCUCCUGGAGGUUGGUAUUCCUCCUGUAAUAUUUCUGUGCACCCUCAUCUCAUGGAUCAUUCAGAAGACCAACAGUAGCAGCUCAUUCAUUAGGUGGCGGUUGCAAAUUCCUGAAGUGGGGAAAGGUGUUCUGAAAAUUUAUCCAAAACCUGGACUUUUCUCUGUUUUUUUUUUUUUUCAUGGUUCUUUUAUAUUUAUAUAUUGCUAUGAAAUAAUCUCAUCUUCUCUUAAAGUUGUUUUCAGUUUAGCUCUCAGUAGAGGAGCUAAUUUUAGAUAUGUCGUUUUGCUUUUUUUCCCUCAUAAGAGCCUGCUAAAUAGAAAGCACUUUUCUACAGGAAAAUGUUCUGGUUUGGAUUCCACCUUUUUUUCUUCUUUAGCAGUGUUAAAAAGAUGUUACUCAAUUUGAACAGUAGCAAACCUCAGCCCCAAACAGAGAAAUAUGCAGUCUUUCUCAAGACAUGUUGAGACAUCCCCCUGCAGCUGUAAUGGGUUAUCAGCACAUCUCCACCCUUUCACCAGAUGCAGUCUCUUAGAGGCAACUUUGUCUUCCGUUGUAUAUCAUCUGAUCUCAGCUAGUGUCAAAAGACCCAGGAGCUCUCUGCCUGUCUGCUGGGAACAUUGAUCCACUCACCACAACUAUUUACAAGAUGUGAAGUCUUUCCUUCUUUCCUUCCCUUGCACUCUCUUUCUCUCUGUAAAAACAAAAAAAGCUGUCAGUAUUUCAGAAAGUGUGAGCAGCAGA